rnacentral:rRNA from 1 species
UACGUAGGCAGCAAGCGUUGUUCGGAAUUACUGGGCGUAAAGAGUGUGUAGGCGGUGUUCUAAGUUUGUCGUGAAAUCUCCCGGCUUAACUGGGAGGGUGCGGCGAAAACUGGAAUGCUAGAGGAUGGGAGAGGUAAGCGGAAUUCCUGGUGUAGCGGUGAAAUGCGUAGAUAUCAGGAGGAACACCUGUGGUGUAGACAGCUUACUGGACCAUUUCUGACGCUGAGACACGAAGGCGUGGGUAGCAAACAGG